rnacentral:misc_RNA from 1 species
ACAAAUCAUCAAUAUAUCGUGACCUUCGGGUUCGGUAUAUAAACCAUUGUGAAUUGGUAGUAGGCAACUGCUAUCUCUAUGUUCGUGUAGGCUUGCCUCACGAUACGUAAACGAGACAAAAGAGUCGGAUAAAUAUAAAUAAUUAUAAA